CCUUUGCCGGAGAGCAUGUAGAUGUUUACCGUGUGUGUUUUGAUGAAUCUUCACUAACCAUGGAUAUCGUCACAACAUGGAAUGACUGAAACCGUGCUCUGGAUAAAUAAAGAGAAUUAAUGGCAA